rnacentral:rRNA from 1 species
UACGGAGGGAGCUAGCGUUAUUCGGAAUUACUGGGCGUAAAGCGCACGUAGGCGGCUUUGUAAGUUAGAGGUGAAAGCCCGGAGCUCAACUCCGGAACUGCCUUUAAGACUGCAUCGCUUGAAUCCAGGAGAGGUGAGUGGAAUUCCGAGUGUAGAGGUGAAAUUCGUAGAUAUUCGGAAGAACACCAGUGGCGAAGGCGGCUCACUGGACUGGUUUUGACGCUGAGGUGCGAAAGCGUGGGGAGCAAACAGG